AUUCUUUAGAAUGAUGGUGAAAAUCGUUAAUUAAAGAAAUAUAUGUCAAGAUGUUUGCUUGAUGGUGAAUUUAUCGAUAUUUCAGAAAAAAGUUAAUGAAUUGUCAGAUUUUUCUUAACUUUAAAAGCAUGAAAUUAAAGAUGAAUAUGGUUCGACAGCGUUGUCCGUUGCAUUGCAACUUCUGAUCAAAAUGUAAAUCGAUAUUGUUAAAUGUGAUCUUAAUGAUUUUUAUGUACUAUUGUGAAAUCUCUCGAGUAGAAAACUAUAUCUAAUUCUUGGUUGGCGUAACCGACCGUCCCUAAAGCAAGUGGCAAAGGACUUGACAGUUGGUAUCCGAGACCCAAGUUCGAAUACUAGUUGAUUCACAUUUUCAGCUAAGUUUAUUUCUAAAUAAAAUAAACGAAGCGGCUCACAAAAAACAAAAAACAAAAAAAGAAAAGAAAAUUGAGCAUUUAUAGCUAGCAUGGACAAGGAAAAUUCAAGGACCACAUAGUAUUCAAACCCCAAAAUUAAUAAGUUGAGUCCAAACACGUGAGAAAUAUAACAUAUAAGAGAAAAAAAAAGGGCUCAACUUAAAAAUAAGAAAAAGAAAAAAAAAAAAAACAACAUGACAAUCAACAGUUCCUAAUGUAAGUGACAAAAAAUUUAAUGAUUGGAACAAAAAGUUUUAAGUUCAAAGUUUAAUUAAGAUCAGCUAAGUUUAUUUUUUUAAAAAAUAAAUAAAACAAAUAGCAUGCUAUCACUUUUUCAGAAAAGACAGAAAAAAAAGGGUAAUAUGGCAGUUUAUUAAAUGAGAAAGGA
rnacentral:lncRNA from 1 species